AUAUCAUAUUCUCUUAUUUGCAUUGUAUUCUGUUUGGAGUCUAUUGAAUUUCAUUUUCUCUGUGCUGUAGUUUUCCUGUUGGUGAACAGAGAGUUGUUUUGCAGGAGGCAAGAGUGUAUGCAGAGAAAAUAGUCUUUUCUUUAUGGAAACUUCUGCAAAAACUGCAGCAUAGAAAAAGUGGAUUGGUAGUGGAAGGUGUUUGAUAGAUAGAAGGUUGGCAAUGGAAUCAUCUUCUACUCACAACAACCCUAUUCCCCUCAGAGAAGUGCACACUAACUACUAUCCAUAUCCACCUCCUUUGGCUACAUAUCAGGAUGUUGUGGCCUCAACUCUUCAUGGAUACACUGCAGAGACUCCAUGCCUCUCUUGGAACCAAGUUCAUGAUCCCUGUUAUAGGGGGCAAAUACCUUGAGUUACAUAGGCUCUUCGUGGAGGUUACUUCUAGGGGUGGUCUUUCAAAGGUUCUUGGAGAGAAAAGAUGGAAAGAAGUAACUACCGUUUUUAACUUUCCGUCCUCAGCUACAAAUGCUUUUUUUAUUCUUCGGAAAUAUUAUGCUUAAUUGCUCCACCACUAUGAAUGAAUUUACUAUUUUAAUGCAAAGUGUUGGACUCCUUCAUCAGCUGAUGCUUUGCAGAAUGUGGCCAUGAUUGCAGCUCCACUUUGUAGGCUAGCUGGAACACCACAACAAUUGACAGACAUUCAAGCUGAUGUGCCAGUUAAAGUAGCUAAAGAAACUGUUAGACCAUCAGCAGGUCCAGGUUCUGAAGUGUACGGUGUUAUUGAUGGGAAGUUUGAGAGCGGAUUUUAAGUGUGUACUAUUAGCCCCUCCGAAUUCAGCAAACCAAGUACAGCAGCAUCAAAGUGUCCCUCAAAUGCAAAUUGCCCCUGUAAAUAUAGGGUAAGUUUGACUUCCAUUAAUGACAUAUAUGGAAAUUUCAAGGCAAUCCUGAGAUUAGAGGGUAGUUACUAUUCACUUUACAUAUCUGAACUUUUGAUAGUGUUAUUAAACUUGUUUUUGAUUGCAUAUGCUUGAGAUUAGAUGGUUGUUACUAUUGACUUUACAUGAUGUCUCUACCUCUUUAUAUGUCCACAAGUUUGUGGUACUGCACAUAAUUUUGUUUGCCUAAAGCCCUAAACCUUAAGGAAGGAAAGUACUCUUUUAUGCAAAAUACUCUGUGCACUGUAUUAUAAUA